rnacentral:rRNA from 1 species
ACGCUCGACACCUACGGGAGGCAGCAGGUGGGGAAUAUUGCACAAUGGGGGAAAACCCUGAUGCAGCGACGCCGCGUGAGCGAAGAAGUAUUUCGGUAUGUAAAGCUCUAUCAGCAGGGAAGAAACUGACGGUACCUGACUAAGAAGCACCGGCUAAAUACGUGCUAGCAGCCGCGGUAAUCUGAGCGGGCUGGCAAGGC